GAUGAAGAACGGUAGCGAAAUGCGAUAAGUAGUGUGAAUUGCAGAACUCCGUGAAUCAUCGAAUUUUUGAACGCACCUUGCGCUUUUUGGGAUCUUUCUUCCAAGAAGCAUGUCUGUUUGAGAAUCAUGAAACCUUCAAAUCCAACUUUUUGACUUGGAGUCUUAGGGUUAGGUUUGGAUUGUGAGAGGUUGCAGGUUUUUAAAUUGCCUGCUCUCUUUAAAUUUAUUAGCAAAAAGUCUGAUUUGAUUUUUUUGGUAUAAUAAUUACUUGUACUUUCUGAAUGGAAUUUACAUGACUAGUUGCUUCCAAUGGUCUUAUUGAAGGACAAUAUUGAUGCAUUGAUCUCAAAUCAGAUAGGACUACCCGCUGAACUUAAGCAUAUCAAUAAGCGGAGGA
rnacentral:misc_RNA from 1 species